AAGAUGCAUCUCGUGCCAAUGCUUAUUUUGAUCAAGCUGUUAAAUUUGACCCUCAUGAUUGUUAUGUAGUGGCAUCAUAUGCUAGGUUCCUGUGGGAUGCUGAAGAGACUGAGGAGGAAUUGAAGUAAAAGAGCUAAGUGGAAUUAUAGUAUGCACGGAUUCCUACCUCGUGAAGAUGGAGAAGUUGUUUUCGAAAGAUACUUAAAAACUAGUCACUCGUCAAAUUAAAUGAACACUUUAAGUUUAAAAAAAUCACAAUUCGAAAGGCAAUAAUGCACGAGAUCGAAUAAAUAU